AUUCCGGUGACCUAGUGGUUAGAGUGUCGGCCUCAGAUGCGGGAAGUCGCGGGUUCGAAUCCCUGCCGAAUCAUA